AGAGUUUGAUCAUGGCUCAGGACGAACGCUGGCGGUGCGCCUUAUGCAUGCAAGUCGAGCGAAGCUUUUCAGUAGUUUACUACAGAAAAUGACUGAGCGGCGAACGGGUGAGUAACGCGUGAGCAACCUACCUUAGUUACUGGGAUAGCCCGAGGAAACUCGGAUUAAUACCGGAUAUUCUUAUUUAAUCACAUGAUUUUUUAAGGAAAGGUCAGCCGAACUAAGAUGGGCUCGCGUUCUAUCAGCUAGUUGGUAGGGUAAUGGCCUACCAAGGCUACGACGGAUAGCUGGUCUGAGAGGACGAUCAGCCACACUGGGACUGAGACACGGCCCAGACUCCUACGGGAGGCUGCAGCAGGGAAUAUUGCGCAAUGAGCGAAAGCUUGACGCAGCGACACCGCGUGUGGGAUGACGGAUCUAGGUUUGUAAACCACUUUCAGGAGGGAAGAAAAUGACGGUACCUCCACAAGAAGCCCCGGCCAACUACGUGCCAGCAGCCGCGGUAAUACGUAGGGGGCGAGCGUUGUCCGGAUUUAUUGGGCGUAAAGAGCUCGUAGGCGGUUCAACAAGUCGGUCGUGAAAGUUCAGGGCUCAACCCUGAAAUGUCGAUCGAUACUGUUGUGACUAGGAUACGGUAGAGGUGAGUGGAAUUCCGAGUGUAGCGGUGAAAUGCGUAGAUAUUCGGAGGAACACCAAUUGCGAAGGCAGCUCACUGGGCCGCUAUCGACGCUGAGGAGCGAAAGCUAGGGGAGCAAACAGGAUUAGAUACCCUGGUAGUCCUAGCUGUAAACGAUGGAUACUAGACGUAGGAAUUGGAUUAACGAUUUCUGUGUCGUAGCUAACGCGUUAAGUAUCCCGCCUGGGGAGUACGGUCGCAAGACUAAAA
rnacentral:rRNA from 1 species